UACGUAGGGUGCAAGCGUUGUCCGGAAUUAUUGGGCGUAAAGAGCUCGUAGGCGGUUUGUUGCGUCGGCUGUGAAAUCCCGAGGCUCAACCUCGGGUCUGCAGUCGAUACGAGCAAACUAGAGUGUUGCAGGGGGAGACUGGAAUUCCUGGUGUAGCGGUGAAAUGCGCAGAUAUCGGGAGGAACACCGGUGGCGAAGGCGGGUCUCUGGGCCGAUACUGACGCUGAGGAGCGAAAGCGUGGGGGAGCGAACAGG
rnacentral:rRNA from 1 species